AGGGGGAUAACUACUGGAAACGGUAGCUAAUACCGCAUAGCGUCGCAAGACCAAAGUGGGGGACCUUCGGGCCUCAUGCCAUCAGAUGUGCCCAGAUGGGAUUAGCUAGUAGGUGGGGUAAUGGCUCACCUAGGCGACGAUCCCUAGCUGGUCUGAGAGGAUGACCAGCCACACUGGAACUGAGACACGGUCCAG
rnacentral:rRNA from 1 species